rnacentral:rRNA from 1 species
UACGGAGGGGGCUAGCGUUGUUCGGAAUUACUGGGCGUAAAGCGCACGUAGGCGGACCAGCAAGUUAGGGGUGAAAUCCCGGGGCUCAACCCCGGAACUGCCUUUAAAACUGUUGGUCUGGAGGUCGAGAGAGGUGAGUGGAAUUCCGAGUGUGGAGGUGAAAUUCGUAGAUAUUCGGAGGAACACCAGUGGCGAAGGCGGCUCACUGGCUCGAUACUGACGCUGAGGUGCGAAAGCCAGGGGAGCAAACGGG